AUUGAACGCUGGCGGCAUGAUUUACACAUGCAAGUCGAACGGUAACAGGCCGCAAGGUGCUGACGAGUGGCGAACGGGUGAGUAAUGCAUCGGAACGUGCCCAGUCGUGGGGGAUAACUACUCGAAAGAGUGGCUAAUACCGCAUACGAUCUAUGGAUGAAAGCGGGGGACCGUAAGGCCUCGCGCGAUUGGAGCGGCCGAUGUCAGAUUAGGUAGUUGGUGGGGUAAAGGCUCACCAAGCCAACGAUCUGUAGCUGGUCUGAGAGGACGACCAGCCACACUGGGACUGAGACACGGCCCAGACUCCUACGGGAGGCAGCAGUGGGGAAUUUUGGACAAUGGGCGCAAGCCUGAUCCAGCAAUGCCGCGUGCAGGAAGAAGGCCUUCGGGUUGUAAACUGCUUUUGUACGGAACGAAACGGCUCUGGUUAAUACCCGGGGCUAAUGACGGUACCGUAAGAAUAAGCACCGGCUAACUACGUG
rnacentral:rRNA from 1 species